ensembl:lncRNA
GUCGCAACACACGAACGAGAGAUGUUUUUAUAAUAUCCGAUGUGUUUUGAGCAAACAGAGACCAGGUAAUUGGUUAAUGAGGUCAAGGACAAGACAAUAGGAAAAUAAAUCAGAAAUUAUUUGGAAGAAAUCUGUACAAAUCUGUACAAAUCAGGGGAUCCGUUUGGCAGUAUCUGUUCUAGAGAGUGUGAGAACUGGUGUGAGAACUAGUGGUUUGGGAUCUAGUCUAGAGUGGUGUGGGAUCUGGUCUAGAGUGGUGUGGGAUCUAGUCUAGAGAGUGUGAGAACUGGUCUAGAGAGUGUGGGAUCUGGUCUAAAGAGAUCAGGUCUAGAGAGUGUGGGAUCUGGUCUAGAGAAUGUGGGAUCUGGUCUAGAGAGUGUGAGAUCUGGUCUAGAGUGUGUGGGAUCUGGUCUAGAGUGGUGUGGGAUCUGGUCUAGAGAGUGUGAGAACUGGUCUAGAGAGUGUGGGAUCUGGUCUAGAGGGUGCAGGAUCUGGUCUAGAGAUUGUGGGAUCUGGUCUAGAGAGUGUGGGAUCUGGUCUAGAGAGUGUGGGAUCUGGUCUAGAGAGUGUGGGAUCUGGUCUAGAGAGUGUGGGAUCUGGUCUAGAGAGUGUGGGAUCUGGUCUAGAGAGUGUGGGAUCUGGUCUAGAGAGUGUGGGAUCUGGUCUAGAGAGUGUAGGAUCUGGUCUAGAGAGUGUAGGAUCUGGUCUAGAGAGUGUAGGAUCUGGUCUAGAGAGUGUGGGAACUGCGCAGGGAUCCAGGCUUCAGUCUCCGCUGCUGGCCGGCCCCGGUCCAGCAGCACGAGUCAAGGUCUACUUAGCGUGGAGAUUUAAGAGCCGUCAUCCCCC